AGAGAUGUGUGAUGACGCAUAUCAAUAAGCGGAGGAAAAGAAACUAACAAGGAUUCCCCUAGUAACGGCGAGUGAAGCGGGAAGAGCUCAAAUUUGAAAUCUUAAAGGGUUUCCCUUUACGAAUUGUAGUUUAAAGAAGUGUUUUCUGUUGGAGUUUCGGUAAAAGUUCUUUGGAAUAGGACAUCAUAGAGGGUGAGAAUCCCGUAUUUGACCGUUACUUCCCAGCUGUGUGAUACACUUUCAAAGAGUCGGAUUGUUUGGGAAUGCAGUCCAAAAUGGGUGGUAAAUUUCAUCUAAAGCUAAAUAUUGGCGAGAGACCGAUAGCGAACAAGUACCGUGAGGGAAAGAUGAAAAGAACUUUGAAAAGAGAGUUAAACAGUACGUGAAAUUGUCAAAAGGGAAGCGUUUGACACCAGUGUUGUUUAGUCGAAAAUCAAUUAAAUAUUUUUCGAUUUUAAGUAGUAUUGACCUUAUCAGCUUGCUGCUUUUUUCUCGGAAAUUAUUUAAUGCACUUUUCAGUUAACAAGUCAACAUCAAUUUCUUUUGUUGUAAAAAGGUAAGAGGAAGGUGGCUUGCGCUUCGGCUCAAGUGUUUAUAGCCUUUUACCCCUGCAAUCGGAGAGAUUGAGGUCUGCAGCGUAGAUCCUUCGGGGUUAGAUACAUUUGUGCUAAGCUAUAGCCUUGUAUAGACAACUUGUUGACUAUGCUCAGUCAUGUAGCUUACUCGCUUAUGCUAUUUUACCUACGCUUAGGAUGUUGAUCUGUAGUGCGUGCGC
rnacentral:rRNA from 1 species